rnacentral:rRNA from 1 species
GACAUCCCGGUCGCGGACACCAGAGAUGGAGUCUUUCAGUUCGGCUGGACCGGUGACAGGUGCUGCAUGGCUGUCGUCAGCUCGUGUCGUGAGAUGUUGGUUUAAGUCCCGCAACGAGCGCAACCCUCGCCCUUAGUUGCCAUCAUUCAGUUGGGCACUCUAAGGGGACUGCCGGUGAUAAUCCGCGAGGAAGGUGGGGAUGACGUCAAGUCCUCAUGGCCCUUACAGGCUGGGCUACACACGUGCUACAAUGUCGGUGACAGUGGGAUGCAAUGGAGCAAUCCUGCGCAAAUCUCAGAAAGCCGUCUCAGUUCGGAUUGUGCUCUGCAACUCGAGCACAUGAAGUUGGAAUCGCUAGUAAUCGCAGAUCAGCACGCUGCGGUGAAUACGUUCCCGGGCCUUGUACACACCGCCCGUCACACCAUGGGAGUUGGCUUUACCUGAAGACGGUGCGCUAACCGCAAGGAGGCAGCCGGCCACGGUAGGGUCAGCGACUGGGGUG